CGGAUAGAGCCAGCGAAGUCGCUCGUAUUCAGCCAAAAGUCCGGGGUUGCCUGUCGUCGUGUUUCUAAUCGAGCACGGCGGUUUGUCUUCUCUGGAUUGAGGUGCAUUUGCGGGCGUUUGCGCUGAGACUUGCGAGGCAGCUGCGGGACCGGCGUCUAGAGGCUUCCCAUUGGGUUGAACCUGGGCGCCGUUACAGCUGUUUGCCUUGCUCGUACUGAUCUGGCCUACGGACCCUGCUCGUGCUGUUGUCAACUGGCCAAGGCAUCGCAUGCGAUGUCUAGCCUGGGGGCUGCAGCGCGGGUUGGUGUUCCCGGAUCGCCUCUCGGUGUAGAAGCUGGUCAUCUCUCCGACCCGUCUUGAAACACGGACCAAGGAGUUUAGCGUAUGCGCGAGUCAUUGGGUGUUAAAACUCACAGGCGCAAUGAAAGUGAAGGCUCGGUCGCCGGGCUGACAUGCGAGUGCCGCGGCUUCGGCCCAGGCAUGCAGCAUGGUCCCAUUGCAAUCGUUUACGAUGCAGUGGAGACAGAGCGUAUGCGCUGAG
rnacentral:rRNA from 1 species